rnacentral:rRNA from 1 species
UACGUAGGGUGCAAGCGUUAAUCGGAAUUACUGGGCGUAAAGCGUGCGCAGGCGGUUCGGAAAGAGAGGUGUGAAAUCCCAGGGCUUAACCUUGGAACUGCACUUCUAACUACCGGGCUAGAGUACGUCAGAGGGGGGUAGAAUUCCACGUGUAGCAGUGAAAUGCGUAGAGAUGUGGAGGAAUACCGAUGGCGAAGGCAGCCCCCUGGGAUGAUACUGACGCUCAUGCACGAAAGCGUGGGGAGCGAACAGG